rnacentral:rRNA from 1 species
AGCUAGUUGGUGAGGUAACGGCCCACCAAGGCAACGAUCGGUAGCCGGACUGAGAGGUUGAACGGCCACAUUGGGACUGAGACACGGCCCAGACUCCUACGGGAGGCAGCAGUGGGGAAUAUUGCACAAUGGGGGAAACCCUGAUGCAGCGACGCCGCGUGGAGGAAGAAGGUCUUCGGAUUGUAAACUCCUGUUGUUGGGGAGGAUAAUGACGUUACCCAACAAGGAAGUGACGGCUAACUACUGCCAGCAGCCGCGGUAAAACGUAGGUCACAAGCGUUGUCCGGAAUUACUGGGUGUAAAGGGAGCGCAGGCGGGAAGACAAGUUGGAAGUGAAAUCUAUGGGCUCGACCCAUAAACUGCUUUCAAAACUGUUUUUCUUGAGUAGUGCAGAGGUAGGCGGAAUUCCCGGUGUAGCGGUGGAAUGCGUAGAUAUCGGGAGGAACACCAGUGGCGAAGGCGGCCUACUGGGCACCAACUGACGCUGAGGCUCGAAAGUGUGGGUAGCAAACAGGAUUAGAUACCCUGGUAGUCCACACCGUAAACGAUGAUUACUAGGUGUUGGAGGAUUGACCCCUUCAGUGCCGCAGUUAACACAAUAAGUAAUCCACCUGGGGAGUACGACCGCAAGGUUGAAACUCAAAGGAAUUGACGGGGGCCCGCACAAGCAGUGGAGUAUGUGGUUUAAUUCGACGCAACGCGAAGAACCUUACCAAGUCUUGACAUCCCUUGACAGGCAUAGAAAUAUGUUUUCUCUUCGGAGCAAGGAGAAAGGUGGUGCAUGGUUGUCGUCAGCUCGUGUCGUGAGAUGUUGGGUUAAGUCCCGCAACGAGCGCAACCCUUAUGGUCAGUUACUACGCAAGAGGACUCUGGCCAGACUGCCGUUGACAAAACGGAGGAAGGUGGGGAUGACGUCAAAUCAUCAUGCCCUUUAUGACUUGGGCUACACACGUACUACAAUGGCGUUAAACAAAGAGAAGCAAGACCGCGAGGUGGAGCAAAACUCAGAAACAACGUCCCAGUUCGGACUGCAGGCUGCAACUCGCCUGCACGAAGUCGGAAUUGCUAGUAAUCGUGGAUCAGCAUGCCACGGUGAAUACGUUCCCGGGCCUUGUACACACCGCCCGUCACACCAUGAGAGCCGGGGGGACCCGAAGUCGGUAGUCUAACCGCAAGGAGGACGCCGCCGAAGGUAAAACUGGUGAUUGGGGUGAAGUCGUAACAAGGUAGCCGUAGGAGAACCUGCGGCUG